ensembl:lncRNA
AGCUAGUUGAAGAGAACAAUGACUCAGUGUUCCAGUGUGACUGAGGGACAGUGCGCUGAAGCUUUACUCUCUCUACUCGAGUUGUAUAGAGAGCGCGUGCUUUGAAGUACAGCUGGCUGCAAUACUCAGCCAAUCUGAGCGCGCGACGAGCCGCGUCCGACCAAUGAGCGACGCGACCAUGACAGAAAUACUAAAGCUGCACGUCAAUCAAUGACUGGGGUACUGAUCCCACUGUCAAGCAAUAAGCCAUCAGCUAUUUUUCAUCGUUUUAUAUAUAUAUAUGCAUAUGGCCAUCAAGGCGCGCAAUCUGCACAGACUAUAUAGCUCUCAGCUCAUAUUGAUGUUUAAUAGGCAUCCUCCGAUGAACCUGUCGAUGAAAUGCAAGGAUGCAUCUUGGAGGAAGAGGACGGAGGGGCACCACUGAUCCCACAACAGGAAGUCAGCUCGACACAACAGCGUGCCGCAUCUCAAGGCUUCCUCUUCCGCAUCACUGAGCCAGAUAAAAACACUGAAUCCAGGCACCACCAACGCUGCCAUUUGCCCUCCUUUCAAAAAAUACACACACACACACACACACCUGCCAGGUGUGUGCACUAUGUAAAGGCUUCCUGUCACGCAAUAGUUUUAUGUUCGGCGUUGAGUCAUGACUGA